GCGGUGAAUGCUUUGGGGUGGGGUGACUGCGUACCUUUUGUAUAAUGGGUCAGCGACUUAUAUUCUGUAGCAAGGUUAACCGAAUAGGGGAGCCGGAGGGAAACCGAGUCUUAAUUGGGCGUUAAGUUGCAGGGUAUAGACCCGAAACCCGGUGAUCUAGCCAUGGGCAGGUUGAAGGUUGGGUAACACUAACUGGAGGACCGAACCGACUAAUGUUGAAAAAUUAGCGGAUGACCUGUGGCUGGGGGUGAAAGGCCAAUCAAACCGGGAGAUAGCUGGUUCUCCCCGAAAGCUAUUUAGGUAGCGCCUCGUGAAUUCAUCUCCGGGGGUAGAGCACUGUUUCGGCUAGGGGGCCAUCCCGGCUUACCAACCCGAUGCAAACUGCGAAUACCGGAGAAUGUUAUCACGGGAGACACACGGCGGGUGCUAACGUCCGUCGUGAAGAGGGAAACAACCCAGACCGCCAGCUAAGGUCCCAAAGUCAUGGUUAAGUGGGAAACGAUGUGGGAAGGCCCAGACAGCCAGGAUGUUGGCUUAGAAGCAGCCAUCAUUUAAAGAAAGCGUAAUAGCUCACUGGUCGAGUCGGCCUGCGCGGAAGAUGUAACGGGGCUAAACCAUGCACCGAAGCUGCGGCAGCGAACGUAUCACCCAAGACAACUUUACGGAGUUGACGAUUGACGGAGCGAAGCGACGUCAAAGCGUUCAUUAAAGUCGAGUUGGCUUAGGGAUACGUUCGUUGGGUAGGGGAGCGUUCUGUAAGCCUGUGAAGGUGUGUCGUGAGGC
rnacentral:rRNA from 1 species